AGGAGUGACCAGGCGGCCGCUCGGCGAAAGCCGGGAGGAAAGUCCGAACUCCACAGGGUACGGUGGUGGGUAACGCCCACCCGCCGUCGAGUUAAAGUCGGCGGCGCGGGAAAGUGCCACAGAAAACAUACCGCCUAUGUCGCCUCUGGCGGCAGGUAAGGGUGCAAUGGUGCGGUAAGAGCGCACCGCGGUUCUGGCGACAGAAUCGGCAAGGCAAACCCCACCGGGUGCAAGACCAAAUAGGGAGCCGACGCGUUGACCCGACGCAUCCUUCGACCGCCACCGUGUGAGUCCCCGUCAAUGGUUGCACACGGCGUGCUGAAGGUUUGUCUACCUUAGUAGCGAAGUGCCGCUCGCGGCAUCAGUCAACGGGCGGACUUAAGGCUCCGGGUAGGUCGCUCGAGGGCGGCAGCAAUGCCGCUCCCAGAUAAAUGGCCGCCGCCGCCAAGCGGUACAGAAUUCGGCUUAUCGGUCAAUCCCGCAA
rnacentral:RNase_P_RNA from 1 species